AUAGCAACAGUAACUAAUGCAGUUUUUCAAAUAAAAGGAAACUGACAAGAUGUGGGAGAUGUUAACAAAGGUAGGCCUAUCAAAACAAAAUUAUAUAUGGGCACUGUGGCUGCCCUAUAUGCGUGGACUGAAGCCCGACCUCGCUCUGAAAGAGAAGGCCCUGUCUCAACAACAAUGGGCGAGGUGGGCUCCAUAUUUUAUUGAUAUGGAGAGAUUGGAAGUGGAACGAAUAUGGAGGCAGCUGGGUUUUUACGAAAGAGCAGGACAUCGUUUUAUAUCAUCAAAAUGACGAUUCAUUUGAAUGAAGUGGAUUUUUCAAGACUUGUGGACAGAAGACCCCAUUAUUCUUACCUUUUUGUUUUUACUUCUAAUUAAUAAUAAUAAUAAUUAUUAUUAAUUAGAAGUAAAUAAAAUUAAAUUUCCAAUUCAAACACUAAUUAAAAAUGUUAAAUGGA